rnacentral:ncRNA from 1 species
AUAAAAGCGUUGAACUAUUACAGUAGCUAAUACAAUUCUUGAAAGCAGAGACCUGAUAGCGGUGAAAAUCAGGCAAGAAGUAUAGUGAAUUACAAUUAGGGAGCUGAAUUUCCGGUUUCGGCCGUUAUCUAAACAAGAGAACAGAGUAAUCUGUUAACUAGGGUGGUACCACGGAGCUUCCGUCCCUUUU